GCUUGGAGCAGAUUGACAUGUACUCGAGUCAACUUUUGUUAUGAGUCGAGACUCCUAGAGAGGACAGAAAAUUAUAUUUUUGGAUCUCUAAUUCGAGUCGAUCCCAAAAGGACUCGAGUCGAUCACAGGAUAAGUCGAGUCAACUCAUGAAAAUGACAAGCUGACUCUCUCAGAAAAAGAAUACAGAAUUUUUUUUAGAUCCUGAGGUCGAGUUGACUCAUAGGUAGCUCAAGUCGACCCGUGGGC
rnacentral:lncRNA from 1 species